rnacentral:rRNA from 4 species
UUCGUAACAAGGUUUCCGUAGGUGAACCAGCGG